UGGUGUGAAGCGUAUCUCCGGUCUGAUCUACGAGGAGACCCGUGGAGUUCUCAAGAUCUUUUUGGAGAACGUGAUUCGUGAUUCAGUUACCUACACUGAGCAUGCUAGGAGGAAGACUGUUACUGCUAUGGAUGUUGUUUAUGCCCUCAAGAGGCAGGGAAGGACCCUCUAUGGAUUUGGUGGUUAGAUCAAUUGUUAGGUAGUAGAUGUACAUCUGCUGGAAAUUUCUGUUGUUUCUGUGUUCUUGUUUCGAUCUACUUCUUGGGUUCCAG
rnacentral:lncRNA from 1 species